rnacentral:rRNA from 1 species
AGACCCGAAACCCGGUGAUCUAGCCAUGGGCAGGUUGAAGGUUGGGUAACACUAACUGGAGGACCGAACCGACUAAUGUUGAAAAAUUAGCGGAUGACCUGUGGCUGGGGGUGAAAGGCCAAUCAAACCGGGAGAUAGCUGGUUCUCCCCGAAAGCUAUUUAGGUAGCGCCUCGUGAAUUCAUCUCCGGGGGUAGAGCACUGUUUCGGCUAGGGGGCCAUCCCGGCUUACCAACCCGAUGCAAACUGCGAAUACCGGAGAAUGUUAUCACGGGAGACACACGGCGGGUGCUAACGUCCGUCGUGAAGAGGGAAACAACCCAGACCGCCAGCUAAGGUCCCAAAGUCAUGGUUAAGUGGGAAACGAUGUGGGAAGGCCCAGACAGCCAGGAUGUUGGCUUAGAAGCAGCCAUCAUUUAAAGAAAGCGUAAUAGCUCACUGGUCGAGUCGGCCUGCGCGGAAGAUGUAACGGGGCUAAACCAUGCACCGAAGCUGCGGCAGCGACACUAUGUGUUGUUGGGUAGGGGAGCGUUCUGUAAGCCUGUGAAGGUGUGCUGUGAGGCAUGCUGGAGGUAUCAGAAGUGCGAAUG